rnacentral:tRNA from 1 species
CCGUAGCUCAGCAGGAUAGAGCGUUGGUCUCCGAAGCCAGAGGUCAUGGGUUCGACUCCCAUCGGAC